rnacentral:rRNA from 1 species
AAGUCGUAACAAGGUUUCCGUAGGUGAACUUGCGGAAGGAUCAUUACAGAAUGAAAAGUGCUUAACUGCAUUUUUUCUUACACAUGUGUUUUUCUUUUUUUGAAAACUUUGCUUUGGUAGGCCUUCUAUAUGGGGCCUGCCAGAGAUUAAACUCAACCAAAUUUUAUUUAAUGUCAACCGAUUAUUUAAUAGUCAAAACUUUCAACAACGGAUCUCUUGGUUCUCGCAUCGAUGAAGAACGCAGCGAAAUGCGAUAAGUAAUAUGAAUUGCAGAUAUUCGUGAAUCAUCGAAUCUUUGAACGCACAUUGCGCCCUUUGGUAUUCCAAAGGGCAUGCCUGUUUGAGCGUCAUUUCUCCCUCAAACCCUCGGGUUUGGUGUUGAGCGAUACGCUGGGUUUGCUUGAAAGAAAGGCGGAGUAUAAACUAAUGGAUAGGUUUUUUCCACUCAUUGGUACAAACUCCAAAACUUCUUCCAAAUUCGACCUCAAAUCAGGUAGGACUACCCGCUGAACUUAA